rnacentral:rRNA from 1 species
UACGGAGGGGGCGAGCGUUGUCCGAAGUUACUGGGCGUAAAGGGCGCGUAGGCGGGUUGGCAAGUCCGCUGUGAAAGCCCGGAGCUUACCUCCGGCGGGUCGGUGGAUACUGCCAGUCUUGAAGAUGCCAGGGGAAGAUGGAAUUACCGGUGUAGCGGUGAAAUGCGUAGAGAUCCGGAAGAACACCGGUGGCGAAGGCGG